rfam:Aedes albopictus isolate Foshan contig140904, whole genome shotgun sequence.
UGUUCUGCGGCUUAGUUGGUUGAAGCGCCGGACUAGUGGUACGGAGUCGUGAGUUCAAAUCCCACCAAAACAA